rnacentral:rRNA from 1 species
CAAUAGCGUAUAUUAAAGUUGUUGCAGUUAAAAAGCUCGUAGUUGAAUUUCGGGUCCCCGCGCUCGGCGCUUCAUUGUGCCGUCGUGGUGUCCCUCCUCGCCGUAAGGCGUCCUUUACUGUGAAAAAAUUAGAGUGUUCAAAGCAGGCAAUCGCUUGAAUACAUUAGCAUGGAAUAAUAAGAUAGGAUCUUGUCUAUUUUGUUGGUUGCGUACAACGAUAAUGAUUAAUAGGGAUAGUUGGGGGUGUCCGUAUUGAGCUGUCAGAGGUGAAAUUCUUGGAUUUGCUCAAGACGAACUACUGCGAAAGCAUUCACCAAGGAUGUUUUCAUUAA